rnacentral:rRNA from 1 species
CGUAGGGGGCUAGCGUUGUCCGGAUUUAUUGGGCGUAAAGAGCGCGUAGGCGGCCGAGUAAGUCCGACGUGAAAUCUGGAGGCUCAACCUCCAGCGGUCGUUGGAAACUACUCGGCCAGAGUCCGGAAGAGGAGAGUGGAAUUCCUGGUGUAGCGGUGAAAUGCGCAGAUAUCAGGAAGAACACCGAUGGCGAAAGCAGCUCUCUGGGACGGUACUGACGCUGAGGCGCGAAAGCGUGGGGAGCGAACAGGAUUAGAUACCCUGGUAGUCCACGCCGUAAACGAUGGGUGCUAGGUGUGGGCGGUGUCGACUCCGCCCGUGCCGAAGCUAACGCAUUAAGCACCCCGCCUGGGGAGUACGGCCGCAAGGCUAA